rnacentral:rRNA from 1 species
GAUGAACGCUGGCGGCGUGCCUAACACAUGCAAGUCGAACGAAGCACUGAAAACGGAGAUUCGUCGAAGUUUUCUUUGACUUAGUGGCGGACGGGUGAGUAAUGCGUGAGCAACCUGCCUUUCAGAGGGGGACAACAGUUGGAAACGACUGCUAAUACCGCAUAACGUAUUUUGGGGGCAUCCCUGGGAUACCAAAGGAGCAAUCCGCUGAAAGAUGGGCUCACGUCUGAUUAGCUAGUUGGUGAGGUAACGGCUCACCAAGGCUGCGAUCAGUAGCCGGACUGAGAGGUUGAAC